GUUACCGUAGCUUAACUUUUACCAAAGCACGGUCCUGAAGUUGCCGUUAUGGAAAGCCACAUUUCCCGGAAACA
rnacentral:tRNA from 1 species